rnacentral:lncRNA from 1 species
GAGGAAAGCGGCCAUCGCUGGUCAUAAUGUUAGUCACACCUUUUCUAUCUCCGGGAUUUACCUCUCCAAAACCUGCAUGAGAUGACUCUCACGUACUUCAUCCUCGGCAACAAAUUGAAUCAAGUAUAAGAGUUUCAGAAUGAUGAUCAAAAGAACACAAACAAGAACAAGUGGGAAUUAUGAACCUAUAGAAUAUCAGCAGUUGCGGCCUCUUCUUGGAUUGCACUUGGAAUGACGGAGCGGCUUUCUGGAAUAAAAAGUGUAAACAACUUACUUAUGUGGUAUUGAGAUUCAAAAUUUAGGUGCAUCGCAAAAAAAACCUUACUCAACAAUGUCCUCAAGGAGUUGAAUUAGCUGUUCACAGUGAAUUUUUGUGGUGACAUCACCAUGAUACUUGUCACAUCAUGCCGAUCGUGGGAGGUAACAACCUAAAUGGGAACCCCGCAAAAAUGUUAGAAAAUUGAACAAGAGUAUGUACCCUCUAUAUUUACUUAAGAAAAUAAAUCUUAAAGAAGCAAUUCAAUGCCUUGAAUGAGGUUGUUGUCAUGGUGACCAUGAUACUUGUCACCCCGUACCAGUUUUGUGAGGCGGCAACCUAAAUGGAUACUCCAUAAACUGUAAAAAAUACAAACUUAAACUAUAGUACGUAGUUUCUAUUUACUGAAGAAAAUACAUCUUACAAAAGGAAUGGUAGGCCUUGAUCAAUGAGCUCUUUGUGUUGACCUUGUGCAUGAACAUCCCUAUGAUACUUGUCACCUUAGACCAGUUUUGGGAGGCAACAAGCUAUAUAGAAACCGCACAAAUCGCAAAAAUGUUACAGAACUUGAACUAGAGUAUGCACUUUCUAUUUGCUAAAGAAAAUAAAUCUUAUAGAACUUAGAAGCAAUGGGAGGCCUAGCUAGAAUGAGCUUUCAUGGUGACUUUGUGUGCGAACAUCAACAUGAUACUUGUCACCUCGAGCCAGUUUGGUUGGCUACAACCUAAAUGGAAACCUCACAAGUCGCAAAAGUGAUACAAAAUUAAACUAGAGUGUCUUCUUUCUAUUAAAUAAAUAAAAUAAAUCUUACAGAAGCAGUGGAAGGCCUCAAAUGUGUUGUUCCGGCCUUCUAGGUGACCUUGUACACAAAACAUCACCAUGAUACUUGUCGCACCUUGGACCAAUUUUUUGAAGGCAACAACCUAAAUGUAAACACCACAACUCAAAAAAAACAUUAAAAAUAUAAACUAGAGCACGUACUUUCUAUUUACUAAAGAAAAUAACUCUCACAGUAAUGGAAUAUUCAAUAUUGUCUAGGGCUCUAAGUUGAGUAAAAUGAGCACCAAAUAUAAUCCUUAGCUUGUUUGAAACAACCGGUUAACUUGCUGGCAUGUUAGCAAAUACUGAGUUCCUUCCCCCACACUACGAAUGUUAAGAUGGUGAACGGUUUCAAAAGUGAAUAAAAUGAUUUGUUAAAUAAUUGUGAGUUAUUUUAACUUGGCAUUGAUCCUAAGAGAAACAUUUUUGAAAAAUUGAAGACAUGGUUUUCAAGACAUUUUUUUGAAGACAACGCUGCGACAUAAGACCGAUGUCUAUUUCAUAGAUCCUUUUAAUAUUAACCUUGGUAAACAUAACAUCAAGCAUGAGGUAUGUGAUAAUCAUAUCAGUAAAGGAAUUAAGUUCGUGACAAGACAUAUUAUCAUAUAGGCUAUGAUUUUUAUCUGACAAAAGAUCACACACAAAGAAACAACAGAAGAUUAUAAGAGAUACCACCAAAUAAGCCAUAAACUUUCAUCUAUUAACUUAGCUGCCCUAGGAAAAUAAAGUCCAUGGUAUGGACCUAGUUACUUUCCCAAAGAGAGACAAAAAUCUAAAAUAAAGCAACAAAAAAGGUACUCAAUUCAAGAAAUAAAUAAUUCUGUAGCUGGAAACAUUUAAGCCGCACAUUCUCUUCUCUCCUCAUUGCAAUGAUCUUGUACGAGAAGGGGCCAAACAUAGACAAAAAAGUAAAAUAGAAGACGCUGAUAGAGCCCUUUGUCUCCAUUGACACCAACUCAACAAGAGAUCAUCACACUCGGAUCGAACUAGACUUACUUGCACCAUAUCUCUGCAUGUCACGAUAAAGGUUUUAGAUUUUAGAAGGUUGAGUUAUGAGAUAUUUCAUAUUGUGUGUGUGUCAGAGAUGAAAGCAAGGUUUCCAAAUUAUAUGAAAACUAAAAAUUGACGCCCUAUAUGUUUCAAAUAAAAUGUAUAAAGAUUUUGAAUUAUCCCAACUUAUAGAUAUGCUGAAACAUGAUCCCCAAGCUUGUUGAAUCACUUGAAAUAGUAAGACACAUAAAACUUCCAUGUUCACAUGCUUGCACUAAUCAACCAUUCUAGAAAUGGUAAGGCACUAGGGAUACUCCCAUGUUCAUCAAACCAAACAGAAACAGAAUAAAAUCUUAUGGUUGACAUGUAUAAACCAAUUAGGAGGAGCACCGGUAUUUGGAGAUGUUCUUCUCCAGGUUUCAGGCUUGUUCAAGUUUGGACAAACAAGGACUAGCAACAGAACAUGAGAAUUCUAAGCUCAUCUUUUAUCUCGGAAAGUGAGCUUCAACACACAAACAGUUUGAGUUGCAUUGUUGGAGCUCACCUCUAACACCUAUUCUAAGCCUUGGCUUGAUAGAAUUGGUCAUGCAACAUAAAUUUAUGAGCAUAGUAUGCAGAAGGAGCUGUCAAAACACAAGCGAAACAUGUUAGAACAUGUGAUGGGAGUUACAAACCUCAAUCAAGAUUGAGCACUACACAACUAGUAUUUUAACCCAUAGCUUAGAAAUGUACAACUCUAAUUUUAUUUUAAACUCUAAUAAUAAAUUCAAAGCUUAUCUCUAUGAACAAUAAAGAAUCAAUGUUCUCUACACAAGACACCAAGAAAUUAUGUUUGCAAACCCUCUCCUAGGAUGUGGAAGGAGCUGAGAGGGAAGAGUUCCAUACCAGUUAACACCGAGUGAGUGCAGCUUGCAUGCAUUAGAAGAGUAUAACAUAGCAAGAUGCCCUACUAAUGAACAAUGAAAUAGAAAACACACAAUGGUAGGUAAGAGCAUUCUUACAUGUAGCACAUAUUGUUUGCAAAAUAGUGUUGGGCAUCAUUAGUCAACUUGUAGUCAUCUCACAACACAAGGUAAUGUGCAGGACAACUUGUCCAACAUGUUUGGUAAGUUCACCAUUCGCUUAGAUGAUAUCAUCAAGAAGAAACUACUACAUGUAAUGAAUGUUGCACUAGCAUUACCUUGAUCCCAGCAUGGCUACAUAGGAAGAAAUCAAAAUUUGUUGGGUGCCAGAUCUGCCAUCAACAAUGUGAGAAAAGCCAUCUCGUCCAAAUCAGACAUGUUACCAAACAUUCUUUGUGACAUGACCUGCCGGAGCAUUUCCACUCUCCUCCUAGUAUUUGCGAUCACUCAGGAACGGUCUUGUUUGCUGCCUAUUCUCCACCACUGGGAAGGUAAUUGGUGGCUUCUCACUGUAUAACGCCUUCCAUGCCUGAAACAAGGAAUUAGAAUUCAUGGAUCAUGUUACUAAUAGGUCGAGGAAACCGAAAAUCGCUGAUCAUCUAAUUAGUAGCACCUUUUCUAUCUCUGGGAUUUACCCCUCCAAAACCUGUUGGAGCUGACCCCCAUGUACUUCAUCUUCGGCAACAAAAAUAAUCAAGUGUCAAUGUUUCAGAAUGACGAUCAAACAAACACAAACCAGAACAAGUGGGAAUUACGAACCUAUAGAAUAUUAGUAGUUUCGGCCUUUUCGUGGAUUUCUCAUGGAAUGAAGGGAACAACUUUCUUAAAUAAAAAGUGUAAGCAACUUCCUUAUGUGGUAUGGGGAUUCAAAAUUUAGGUGCAUUGCAAAAAAAACCUUACUCAACAAUGUCCUCGAGGCCUUGAAGUAUCUCUUCACGGUGACCUUGUAUGUGAACAUCACCGUGAUACUUGUCACAUAGGCCAAUCUUGGGAGGCAACAACCUAAAUGGAAACCCCACAAAAUCACAAAAAUGUUUCAAAAUUAAAUAAGAGUACGCACCUUCUAUUUACUUCAGAAAAUAAAUCUUAAACAAGCAAUUGAAUGCCUUGAAUGAGCUCUUCACGGUGACCAUGAUACUUGUCACCUUAUUUGGGAGGCAACAACCUAAGUGGAAACUCCACAAAUUGUAAAACAAAUAGGAAAUUAAACUAGAGUGUGUACUUUCUAUUUACUGAAGAAAAUAUAUAUUAUAAAAGGAAUGGAAGGCCUUGACCAAUGAGCUCUUCAUGGUGACCUUGUGCAUGAAUAUCCCCAUGAUACUUUCCACCUCAGACCACUUUUCGUAGGAAAUUACCUAUAUGGAAAUCCCACAAAGUGCAAAAUUACAAAAAUUUAACUAGAGUAUGCAGUUUCUAUUUGCUGAAGAAAAUAAAUCUUACAGAAGCAAUGGGAAGCAUUGAAUGAUAUUUUUGUGGUGACUUUGUGCGCGAACAUCAGCAUGAUACUAGUCACCCAGGCUAGUCUUUGUUGGCUACAACCUAAAUGGAAAGCCCACAAUUCGCAAAAGUGAUAAAAAAAUUAAACUAGAGUGUGUUCUUUCUAUUCGCUGAAGAAAUAAAUCUUGCAGAAGCAGUGGAAAGCAUUGAAUGUGUUGUUCCUCGGGGCAUUUUGAGCGAGAUCGCCAUGAUACUUGUCACACCUUGAACCAGUUUUUGGAGGCUACACCCUAAAUGGAAACCCCGCAAAUCAAAAAACAUUAAAAAAUUAAACUAGAGCAUGUACUUUCUAUUUAAUGAAGAAAUUAACUCAUAUAGUAGCAAUGGAAAGAUUACGAUCAUCUAGUGCACUAUGUUGGCUAACAUCAAAACCAAAGAUAAUGUUCACUUGUUUGAAACAAUUGGUAAAUUCACUAGCAUUUUAGCAAAUAGAGAGUUCCUUCCCCAAAUCACGAAUGUGAAGAUGGUGAAUGAUUUCAAAGUGUAAUAAAAUGCUUUGUUCAAUAAUUCUUUAAUAACUAUAACCGACUUUACCUUGGCAUUGAUCCUAAGAGCAAAAUUUUCAAAAAAAUUGACAACUUCGUUUAAAGACAUUUUUUCAUAGACAACACUACGACAUCAGACCGAUGUCUAUUUCAUAGAUCCUUUCAAUAUUUGCCGUGGUCAAGAUAACACCAAGCAUGAGAUAUGUGAUAAUCAUAUCAGUAAAAGAACCAAGUUGGCCACAAGACAUAUUAUCAUAUAGGCUGCCAUUUUUAUCUGACAAAAGAUCACAUACAAAGUAACAACAGAAGAGUAUUAUCUUGUGGAUGGAAAUGGACCCUGUCAGCAUUUGCGGGUCCAAUGGGGGUGCAAUGGCACCCCAUCCAAACAUGUAUUUUUUUGGCAAAUACUACAUAGCUUAACAUGUGUGCAUGACAAUGUGCUCAAUAGCAUAGUUACAUGAGUCUUAAGUUUGGUACCCCCUCAGGUGUAAUCGUAGGUGGGCACUUCCUGGCAGGCUAUCGCCAUCAUAUUAGAAACAUGACGGUCAUCCAGUUUCUUUUCGUACCGUUGUACAUGACCAAUAUUCCAAAUCAGAAGAAAUUGCAUGAGACUAAACCAAGACAACCUAUACUAACUUCAAACAUUUCGAAUGUCCACAUGAGACUCGCACCUUUACAAAAUUAAUAUCAUUGAAUGUAUGCUUUUCCAAGGGUGAAAUGUAAAGUAAAGUAUAUCGCUCUAUUAGAAACUCAUCACCUAACAAAGUUGAUCACUUUGGAUAGUAUCAACAUAUCCAUCAACAUAAUAUGAUCUUGUAUUAGUACAUCUAUGAAAUAUGUCCUUCACCUUACCAACACUUGGAGAUGAAGAAUUGAGGGCUCAACAACAAUCUUCCCACACCGAGACAUAAUCUUAAAUGUGUUUAGAGAAAAAUUAGUACAUUCAACUAAGUGGCCAUAUAUUAUAAAAAAAUACACUGUAUAGGUAAUGGAUGAUCUAUCAUAGUGUCGCAUGAUUUUGAAACAGAGAAGUAGAACCUGCCUCGAGGUCACACGAAUAUGGUCAACAAGUCAAAUGAUAAGGUCUUGGAGAGAAGAGACAAGUUGCAUAUACUUGUGGUAUUCGCACUUGUGGCCAUAUGGCAUAUGAGAUCAAAGGCCUAGGUGCUUCAUGCUGUUCUAGCCCUUGCACCGACGACCACACAUGAAUGGUCCAGAAUGCGAAUAGAUAAGACAUACCCUAUAAGUCCGGUUCUUUCUUUUCUUUCGGGAACUGUACCGAGCACAAUCAAGAGAUGACAAAUAAAGUAAAGAGUUUUUCUGAAAACGAAGAGAUUAUAAGAGAUAAUAGGAAAUAAGCCAUAACUUUCAGCUAUUAACUUAGCUGCCCCAGGCAAACAAAGACGAUGGUAUGGACCCAUUAUCUUUCCCAAAGAGAUACAAAAAUAUAAAUUAAAGCAAGAAAAAAAGGUAGUCAAUUUAAGAAAUACAUAAUUCCAAAGUUGGAAAUGGUUAAGCCGCACAAUCUCUCCUCUCCUCUUUGCGAUGAUCUUGUACGAGAAGGGGACAUACAUAGAACGAAAAACUUAAAUAGAAGACGUUGAUAGAGUCCUUUGUCUCCAUUGACAACAACUCAACAAGAGAACAUCACGUUCGGAUCGAUCUAGACUUACUUGCACCAUAUCUCUGCAUGUCACCAUAAAGGGUUUAGAUGUUUAGACAAUUGAGUUCUGAGAUAUUUCAACAGAAAAGGAACAAUAUAAAUUGCGGCGAGUGCAAACUAUUUUGGAAAUAUAAGAGUGUGCGUGCGUGCGUGUGAGUGUGUGUGUGUAGGGGAUGAAAGCAGGGUUCUAAAAUUAUUUCAAAACUAAAACUCAGGCCGUAGAUGUUUCAAAUUAAAAGUACAUACAUUUUAAAUUAUCUCAACUUAUAAAUACGCUAAAACACGAACCCCAAGCCUACUGAAUCACUUGAAGUAGUAAGACACCUAAAAAUUCCAUGUUCAUAUCCUUGCAUAAACCAACCAUUCUGGAAAGGGUAAGGCACUUGGGAUACUCCCAUGUUCAUCAAACCAAAUGGAAACAAAAUAAAAUCUUUCGGUUGACAUGUACACCAACUAGGAGGAGCGCUAGUAUUUAGAGAUGAUCUUCUCCAGGCCUUAGGCCUGUUCAAGUGUGGAUGGACAGGGACUGGCAGUAGAACAUGAGAAUUUUGAGCUCAUCUUUUAUCUCAGAAAGUGAGCUUCAUCACACAAACAAUUUGAGUUACAUUGCCAAAGCUUACCUCUGAGGCCUCAUCUAUGCCUUGGCUUGAUAGAGUCGAGCACACAACGCAAGUUUAUGAGCAUGGUGUGUAGAAGCAGCAGUCAAAAUACAAGCGGAACAUGUUAGAACAUGUGACGGGAGCUACAAAGCUCAAUCAAAGUUGAGCACUAUGCAGCUAGUAUUUAAACCCAUAUCUAGAAAGGUACAACUCUAAUUUGACUCUAAUAAUAAAUUCAUAUUUUAUCUCAGUGAAUAAAUAAAGAAUCUAUUUUCUCUGCCCAAGACACCAUGAAAUAUGUUUACAAACCCUCUCCUGCUAGGAUUUGAAAGAGCAGAGAGUGAAGAGUUCCAUACUAGUCAACACCGAGUAAGUGCAGCUUGCAUGCACACGAAGAGUAUAACAUAGCAAUAUGCCAUACUAAUGAACAAAGAAAUAAAAAACACACAAUGUCACGUAAGAGCAGGCUUACAUGAAGGACUUGUUGUUUUUAAAAUAGUGUAGGGUGUAGUCAACUUGUAGUUAUCUCACAACACAGGUAAUGUGCAGGACAACUUGUUCCCCACGUUUGGUAAGUUCACCAUUCAUUUACUUGAUAUCAUCAAGAAGAAACAACUACAUGUAAUGAAUGUUCCACUAACAUUACCUUGAUCCCAGCAUAGCUACCAGGGAAGAAAUCAAACUCUAUUGGGUACCCGAUCUUCCUAUCGACAAUGCGAGAAAUGCCAGCUAGUCCAAAUCAGACAAGUUACCAAACGUUCUUUGUGACAUGACAUGCCAUCACAUUUCCACUCUUGUCCUAGUAUUUGCCAUCACUUGGGAACAGUCUUGUAUGCUGCCUCUUUUGCACCACUAGGAAGCUAAUUGGUGGCUUGUCAUUGUAUAACGUCUUCCCUUCCUGAAACAAGGAGUUACAAUUAAUCGAUCAUGUUACUAAUAGGUCGAGGAAAUCGACCAUCGCUGGUCAUCAAAUUAGUCGCAAUUUUUCUAUCUCCGGGAUUUACCUCUCCAAACCCUGCAUGAGAUGACUCUCAAGUACUUCAUCCUUGGCAACAAAAUGAAUCAAGUAUAAGAGUAUCGGAAUGAUGAUCAAAAGAACACAAACAAGAACAAGUGGGGAUUAUGAACCAAUAGAAUAUCAACAGUUGCGGCCUCUGGAUUGCUCUUGGAAUGAGGGAUCAGCUUUCCGAAAUAAAAAGUGUAAACAACUUACUUAUGUGGUAUGGAGAUUCAAAAUUUAGGUGCAUCGCACAAAAAACCUUACUCAACAAUGUCCUCAAGGACUUGAAUUAGCUCUUCACGGGGAAUUUGUGUGCGGACAUCACCAUGAUACUUGUCACAUCAUGGGGAUCAUGUGAGGCAACAACCUAAAUGGGAACCCCGCAAAUCGCAAAAAUGUUACAAAAUUAAACAAGAGUAUGUACCUUCUAUAUUUACUUAAGAAAAUAAAUAUUAAAGAAGCAUUCAGUGCCUUGAAUGAGGUUGUCAUGGUGACCGUGAUACUUGUCACCCCAUACCAGUUUUGUGAGGCGAAAACCUAAAUGGACACUCCACAAUCUGUAAAAAUUACAAACUUAAACUAGAGUACGCAUGCAGUUUCUAUUUGCUGAAGAAAAAACAUCUUACAAAAGGAAUGGAAGGUCUUAAUCAAUUAGCUCUUCGUGGUGACCUUCUGCGUGAACAUCCCUAUGAUACUUGUCACCUCAGACCAGUUUUGGGAGGCAACAAGCUAUAUGGAAACUGCACAAAUCGCAAAAAUGUUACAGAAGUUGAACAAGAAUAUUCACUUCCUAUUUGCUGAAGAAAAUAAAUCUUAUAGAACUUAGAAGCAAUAGAACGCCUAGAAUGAGCUUUCAUGGUGACUUUGUGUGCGAACAUCAGCAUGAUACUUGUCACCUCAGGCCAGUUUGGUUGGCUACAACCUAAAUGGAAACCCCACAAGUCACAGAAGUGAUACAAAAUUAAGCUAGAGUUUGUUCUUUCUAUUUAAUAAAGAAAACAAAUCUUACAGAAGCAGUGAAAGACCUCAAAUGUGUUGUUCCAGCCUUCUAGAUGACCUUGUAUGCAAAACAUCACCAUGAUACUUGUCGCACCUCGGACCAAUUUUUGGAGGCAACAACCUAAAUGUAAACCCUACAAAUCAGAAAACGUUAAUAAAUUAAACUAGAGCUUGUACUUUCUAUUUACUAAAGAAAAUAACUCUCCCAGUAAUGGAAGGUUCAAUAUCAUCUAGAGCACUAAGUUGAGUAAAAUGGGCACCAAAGAUAAUCUUUGGCUUGUUUGAAACAACUAGUAAACUUGCUGGCAUGUUAGCAAAUACUGAGUUCCUUCCCCCACACUAUGAAUGUGAAGAUGGUGAAUGAUUUCAAAAGUGAAUAAAAUGAUCUGUUAAACAAUUCUUUAAUAAUUGUACAUGAUUUUACCUUGGCAUUUAUCCUAAGAGCAACAUUUUUGAAAACCCGAGGACUUGAUUUUCAAGACAUUUUUUCAGAGACACGCUGCGACAUCAGACCGAUGUCUAUUUCAUAGAUCCUUUUAAUAUUUCCCAUCGUAAAGAUAAUAGCAAGCAUGAGGUAUGUGAUAAUCAUAUCAGUAAAGGAAUUAAGUUCGUGACAAGAUAUAUUAUCAUAUAGGCUGUCAUUUUAUCUGACAAAAUAUCUCACACAAAGAAACAACAGAAGAGUAUUAUUUUGUAAAUGGAAAUGGACCCUGGCAGCAUUGGCGGAUCCAAUGGGGUUGCCAUGGCACCCCAUCCGAACAUGUAUUUUUUUGCCAAAUACUACAUAGCUUAACAUGUGUGCAUUACAAUGUGCUCAAUUGCAUAGUUACAUGAGUGUUAAGUUUGGCAACCCCUCAGGUGUAAUCUUAGAUUUACACUUCCUGGCAGGCUAUCGCCAUCAUAUUAGAAACCUGGUGAUCAUCCAGUUUCUUUUUGUACCGCUGUCCAUGACCUAUAUUGCAAAUCAGAAGAUAUUGCAAGAGACUAAAUCAAGACAACCUAUACUAACCUCAAAGAUUUCGCAUGUCCACAUGAGACUCCCACCUUUAGAAACCUGAUAUAAUUAUAAAAUAAAGUAGAUCGCUAUGUUAGAAACUCAUCACCUAACGAAGUUGAUCACUUUGGAUAGUAUCAACAUAUCCAUGGACAUAAUAUGAUCUUGAAUCAGUACAACUAUGAAAUAUGUCCUUCGCCUUACCAACACUUGGAGAUGAAGAAUUGAGGGCUCAAGAACUAUCCUCCCACACCGAAACAUAAUCUUAAAUAUAUUUAGACAGACAUUAGUACAUUUAAUUAAGUUGACAUAUAUUAUAAAAAAUCCAAUAUGUAGGUAAUGGAUGAUCUUUCAUGGUGUCGAGUGAUUUUUAAAUGGAGAAGUAGAACCUGCCACGAGGUCACAUGAAUAGGGUCAACAAGUCAAAUGAUAAGGUCUUGGAGAGAAGAGACAAGUUGCAUAACCUUGUGGUAUUCGCACGUGUGGACAUAUGGCAUAUGAGAUCAAAAGGCCUAGUUGCUUCAUGCCGUUUUAGCCCUUGCGCUGAUGACCACACAACCAUGCAUGAUUGGAACGAGAAUAGAUAACACAUAUCCUAUAUGUCUAGUUCUUCUUUCUUUUCUUUCAAAACUUGUACCGAGCACAAUCAAGAGAUGAAAAAUAAAGCAAAGAUUAUUUUUUCUGAAAACGAAGAGAUUAUAAGAGAUAACAACAAAUAAGUCAUAACUUUCAGCUAUUAAAUUAGCUGCCCCAGGCAAACAAAGUCGAUGGUAUGGACCCAGUUACUUUCCCAAAGAAAGACAAAAAUCUAAAAUAAAGCAAGAAAAAAGGUAAUCAGUUCAAGAAAUAAAUAGUUCCUAAGCUCGAAAUGGUUAAGCCGCACAUUCUCUUCUCUCCUCUUUCCAAUGAUCUUGUACGAGAAGGGGACAGACAUAGAAAGAAAAAAUUCAAAUAGAAGAUGCUGAUAGUCCUUGGUCUCCAUUGGAAACAACUCAACCAGAGAUCAUCACGUUCGGAUCGAACUAGACUUACUUGCACCAUAUCUCUGCAUGUCACGAUAAAGGUUUUAGAUGUUUCGACAAUUGAGUUCGGAGAUAUUUCAACAGAAAAGGAACAAUAUAAGUUGCGGCGAGUGCAAACUAUUUUGAAAAUAUCAGUAUGCGUGCGUGCGUGUGUGUGUGUGUGUGUGUGCGCGCGGGAUGAAAGCAGGGUUCUUAAAUUAUUUGAAAACUAAAAUUCACGCCCUAGAUGUUUCAAAUAAAAUGUAUAGAGAUUUUAAAUUAUCUCAACUUGACAUAUGCUAAGAUAUGAACCCCCAAGCCUACUGAAUCACUUAAAAUAGUAAGACAACUAAAACUUCCAUGUUCAUAUCCUUGCAUAAACCAACCAUUCUGCAAAGGGUAAGGCACUUGGGAUACUCCUGCUAGGAUGUGAAAGAGCUGAGAGGGAAGAGUUAGUAAGUGCAGCUUGCAUGCACGCGAAGAGUAUAACAUAGCAAGACGCCAUACUAAUGAACAAAGAAAUACAAAACACACAAUGUCAGGUAAGAGCAUGCUUACAGGUAGCACAUGUUAUUUUUAAAUAGUGCAGGGCAUCAUUAGUCAACUUGUAGUGAUCUCACAACAAAGGUAAUGUGCAGGACACCUUGUCGCCCACGUUUGGUAAGUUCACAAUUCAAUUACAUGAUAUCAUCAAGAAGAAACAACUACAUGUAAUGAAUGUUCCCCUAACAUUACCUUGAUCCAAACUCUCUUGGGUACCAGAUCUUCCUACUGACGAUGUGAGAAAAGCCAGCUAGUCCAAAUCAGACAAGUUACCAAACGUUCUUUGUGACAUGACCUGCUAGAACAUUUCCACUCUUGUCCUAGUAUUUGCCAUCACUUGGGAACAGUCUUGUAUGCUUCCACUUCUGCCCCACUAGGAAGGUAAUUGAUGGCUUCUCAUUGUAUAACGUCUUCCCUUCCUGAAACAAGGAGUUACAAUUAAUGGAUCAUGUUAGUAAUAGGUCGCGGAAACCGACCAUCGCUGGUCAUUAAAUUAGUCGCACUUUUUCUAUCUCCGGGAUUUACCUCUCCAAAACCUGCAUGAGAUGACUCUCAGGUACUUCAUCCUUGGCAACAAAAUGAAUCAAGUAUAAGGGUUUCAGAAUGAUGAUCAAAAGAACACAAACUAGAACAAGUGGGAAUUAUGAACCUAUAGAAUAUCAGCAGUUGUGGCCUCUUCUUGGAUUGCUCUUGGAAUGAAGGGAUCAGCUUUCUGAAAUAAAAAGUGCAAACAACUUCCCUAUGUGGUGUGGAGAUUCAAAAUUUAGGUGCAUCGCAAAAAAAACCCUUACUCAACAAUGUCCUCAAGGCCUUGAAUUAGCUCUUCACGGUGAAUUUGUAUGCGAACAUCAUGAUGAUACUUGUCACAUCAUGCCGACCGUGGGAGGCAACAACCUAAAUGGGAACCCCGCAAAUCGCAAAAAUGUUAAAAA